rnacentral:rRNA from 1 species
UACGAAGGUCCCAAGCGUUAUCCGGAUUUAUUGGGUUUAAAGGGUGCGUAGGCGGGCUAUUAAGUCAGUGGUGAAAGCCCCAAGCUUAACCUCGGAACUGCCUUUGAUACUGGUGAUCUGGAGAUCGGGAGAGGUUGGUGGAAUUCCGAGUGUAGAGGUGAAAUUCGUAGAUAUUCGGAGGAACACCAGAAGCGAAGGCGGCCAACUGGCCCGAUACUGACGCUGAGGCGCGAAAGCGUGGGGAGCAAACAGG